GGACCACCUGAGGAGAUCUAGGCUGAAAGGUCUCUGCCUCCCUUAUAUGUUGCACCUCUGCUGCAAGGCUGUGUCACCAUCUCUACCUGACAUUCCGUUUGUUCUGAUGGUCUGGGAGGAACAAUUCAUAAUCCCUGGUUCAUGUUUUCUGGAAGUGGUUCGAAUUUGCAGUUGUGUCAAAAGUACUCCAUUAAAAAGGGAUGUUCUUAUUCUUUUAAAA
rnacentral:lncRNA from 1 species